AUAACAAAGUUGAUUGCAGAUGAAGAGAUACAAAAUAAAAUCACUUCUGAGAUUACUGUUUACAUGAAAGCUGAGGGACUUUUUGGACUGCUACUAGCAAUUAGGCAAAGAAAUACAAGGGCACCAAGUAAUUUACAAUUUCACGGUAUUGUCUAUUCAUAAUUUAUUUUUACCAUAACUUGAUGGCUAAUUAGUUCAAAACUUCAAAUGCAUAGCUGAUUGGUGGGUUGCAUAUGGUUCUACGACGCCUAAUUUGCAAAAGUUUGCGAUAAGAGUUCUUAGCCUUGCAUAUAGUUCUUCCGGUUGUGAACGGAAUUGGAGUGUAUUUGAACAUCUCCAUAGCAAAAAAAGAAAUAGGCUCCAGCAAAAACGCCUCAAUGACUUGGUGUUUGUCAAGUAUAACAGGGCACUAAAACGUCGAUAUGAUAUGCGAGAUACAAUUGAUCCCAUUUCUUUGACAAAUGUUGAUGAAAGCAAUGAGUGGUUGCGUGGGAGGAUGGAUGGAGAAUCUAAUGAAGAUAAUGAGCAGGUGUUUGGUGAUGAUAGUUUAACGUGGACUGAUGUUGCUAGAGCUUCUGGAGCGUUAGAGAGUUCCCAUGUAACUAGAGCUACAACAUCAAGAGCACGAGCAAGGAGUGCCACAUCCAAUCCAAUUCAUUUGGUAGAUGAAGAAGAGGCGGGUUCCGAAGCGACGGAAGAAGAGGAAGAUGACGAGGGAUACAAAUCCGUUGGUGAAGAAGAAGAAGAUGAUGACGAUUUUCUUGGUGUUGAUAUGGACGAUGAUUAGUAAACUAAAUCUUCCUUAGGAUGAUCGAAGUGCAACUAGGAAAAGUACUUGGAUGCUUGUCUUUUAUUGAUUUUGACGUUUUAGUUUUUCUCUAUUCGAGAUCGGUGGCUAUUUGACAUUUCAUAAAUAUUUUUAUGUAUCUUUUGGAUGGUAAACUCAUUGGCUUAGUGCUUAUUACUUGAAAUAUUUGUGUGCGCUAUUUUUUUCUAUUUUUUUCCGCAUAGAUGCGCCUCGCUUCAAAAAGGCGCGCCCCUCACCUUGCGCCUCUCGCCUCAGGCCCAACAGGACUUUGCGCCUCGGUGCGCUUUUCGCCCAUGACAACUAUGGGCUAGAAUGAGGGGUUGGAUGUUUGAUGAUUGAAGGAGGAAGAACAAUUGUGCUCUUGGAUGCCUUUGUAUCUCUUUAAUUGGCUUAAAAGAGUACAAAGUGGCAACCUUUUGAAAAUGAAUUUUUGCAAGCCUUUGAAUUUUUUGAACCCUUUUUCAAAGACUUGGAACCCUUUUAAUGGAUGAACCAUGGGGGGUAUAUAUAGGGAGAGAUGAGAUAGGUAUGGAGCUUAGCCAGUCCACGAGGCCGGCUAAAGGUUACUUGGUGGUUAAGCUUACCAAUCCAUAAAGGUGAUGGAGACAGGUUUUGACCGGCGCGCGCGGGUUGCGCUCCGACGCGCGCGGGUCAACGGUCAAGCUUUGACUGUUGACCACACCUGACAGCUUGACCCGCGCGCGCGGUUUUAGGAGCAGCGCGCGUAUGUACCACCUACUUACGCAUUGGUCAACGGUCAAAGCUACCUACUCACGCGUUGGUCAACGGUCAAGCUUUGACCAUUGACCAACACCUGUCAAGUUGAUCUGCACGCGCAAGCUCUCAACCAACGCGUGCCAGUAAGGUUUUUGGCUUUUGAAUUGGCUUCGAUUGGGUUCAGGGGUUUUUCAAACACUCAAAGCUCAAACACUUCCCGGGGUGUUUUUGAUCUGUUUCAUCAUUGGAGAAUAAAAAAUCGAAAGUAAACUAAUCUGGAAGCCCAGAUUGGGGUGUCUAUAGGUGGUAAAAAGCAUGUUGGCCGGCGAUCACUAGGCCCAUCUCGCCGAAGCCUUCAAGAUUCUCAAAACUCAUAAGCUCCGUCUCAACGCAGAAAAGUGUGCCUUAGGUGUCAGCUUCGGAAAGUUUCUUGGCCACCUCGUCUCCCGACGCGGUAUUGAAACCGACCCUGCUCAGCUGCUUGCCAUUGAGAAGCUCUCGGCUCCCCACAACAAGAGGGACGUCCAACGUCUCACUGGCAUGGCCGC